UGGGGAAUCUUGCGCAAUGGGCGAAAGCCUGACGCAGCCACGCCGCGUGAGUGAUGAAGGCCCUCGGGUCGUAAAGCUCUGUCGGGAGGGAAGAAGUUCUGACGGUACCUCCCAAGAAAGCACCGGCUAACUCCGUGCCAGCAGCCGCGGUAAUACGGAGGGUGCAAGCGUUGCUCGGAAUCACUGGGCGUAAAGCGCACGCAGGCGGCUAGAUAAGUCGGGUGUGAAAGCCCGGGGCUCAACCCCGGAACUGCAUUCGAAACUGUCUAGCUUGAGUACGGGAGAGGGAAGCGGAAUUCCUGGUGUAGAGGUGAAAUUCGUAGAUAUCAGGAGGAACACCAGCGGCGAAAGCGGCUUCCUGGUCCGAUACUGACGCUCAUGUGCGAGAGCGUGGGGAGCAAACAGG
rnacentral:rRNA from 1 species